rnacentral:rRNA from 1 species
AAUAAAAGUAAAGAGUUGAGUUUAUGUAUAAGAAUUUUAUUUCUUAUUUCAUAACUCUCUUAAGGGAAGAUGAAAAUUUAAUUGAUAAUAUUUUUAUAUUAUUAAUAAUAAUUUUUCGCACUCCCAGGGCGCUUGUUUCACGCUUUGCGUGUCAAUGCGCACCUAGAGCGUACACGCUGAUACCCGAAAGAUGGUGAACUAUGCCUGGCCAGGACGAAGCCAGGGGAAACCCUGGUGGAGGUCCGCAGCGAUUCUGACGUGCAAAUCGAUCGUCGGAGCUGGGUAUAGGGGCGAAAGACCAAUCGAACCAUCUAGUAGCUGGUUCCCUCUGAAGUUUCCCUCAGGAUAGCUUGCGCUCGGUUGAGAAGAGUCUCAUCCGGUAGAGCGAAUGAUUAGAGGCAUUGGGGUCGAAACGACCUCAACCUAUUCUCAAACUCCAAAUAGAUGAGAUCCCCGGCUUUCU